rnacentral:lncRNA from 1 species
AGAACGGCUAUAAAAGUGUGUCUAACGGCUAGUUUUCGAUGGGGAUUGCUUAAAUAGCCAGAGUAAACAGUAAUAGACAUCAAGAGAGAGACUCCAUUCAAAGCAAAAGGGAUUUCCACCUACCAAAGCCUCUCAAGAGUAAAUACAAGAGAAAGAAGGAAGAAGUGUAUUGAAGUCCAUAUUCCAAACGUCUUCCUCGCAUUCGAGGCUCCCCUUCUGACAGCAAAUCUUCAGCACACUCAAGAGGAGUUGCAGAGUUCGAGAAGCCCCUUUCUUCACCUCCAAAAAUCUGUUUGAGGGCUUCUAACUCUUCUUUAUUCAUAUUGUUUAUAUUUGCUUUUCAAGAAGCUAUCCUUGUACUCUUUUCAAACUGCUUUUCUUACUUGAUUCAAUCAGGGGAUUGAAUCAAGGGUGUUAAGGUUGGUUGG